rnacentral:rRNA from 1 species
UCCGUAGGUGAACCUGCGGAGGGAUCAUUACAGAGUUACUACUCCAAACCCAUUGUGAACCUUACCUAUGUUCUGUUGCCUCGGCGGCGUGGUCAGCGCCCCCUCUGAAAAGAGGACGAUGCCCUCCCGCCGGCAGCACCAAACUCUUUGAAUUUUACAGCGGAUUACAGUUCUGAUUUGAAAACAAAAAACAAGUUAAAACUUUCAACAACGGAUCUCUUGGUUCUGGCAUCGAUGAAGAACGCAGCGAAAUGCGAUAAGUAAUGUGAAUUGCAGAAUUCAGUGAAUCAUCGAAUCUUUGAACGCACAUUGCGCCCGGCAGUAAUCUGCCGGGCAUGCCUGUCCGAGCGUCAUUUCAACCCUCGAACCUCCGUUUCCUCAGGGAAGCUCAGGGUCGGUGUUGGGGCGCUACGGCGAGUCUUCGCGACCCUCCGUAGGCCCUGAAAUACAGUGGCGGUCCCGCCGCGGUUGCCUUCUGCGUAGUAAGUCUCUUUUGCAAGCUCGCAUUGGGUCCCGGCGGAGGCCUGCCGUCAAACCACCUAUAACUCCAGAUGGUUUGACCUCGGAUCAGGUAGGGUUACCCGCUGAACUUAAGCAUAUCAAUAAGCGGAGGA